AACGAACGCUGGCGGUGUGCCUCAUACAUGCAAGUCGUACGCGAAUCCUGCCGCAAGGCAGGGUUUGAGUGGCAAACGGGUGCGUAACACGUAGGUAAUCUUCCUUUGAGUUGGGGAUAAGCCCUCGAAAGGGGGUCUAAUACCGAAUAACACUUCGGGCCGGCAUCGGCCUGAAAUUAAAGAUGGCCUCUGCUUGCAAGCUAUCGCUCGGAGAUGAGCCUGCGGCCGAUUAGUUAGUUGGCGGGAUAAAAGCCCACCAAGACUUCGAUCGGUAGCCGGUCUGAGAGGAUGUCCGGCCACACUGGGACUGAGAUACGGCCCAGACUCCUACGGGAGGCAGCAGUAGGGAAUAUUGCGCAAUGGCCGCAAGGCUGACGCAGCAACACCGCGUGGGGGAUGAAGG
rnacentral:rRNA from 1 species